rnacentral:rRNA from 1 species
AGUGAACGCUGGCGGUAGGCCUAACACAUGCCAGUCGAACGGCAGCACAGUAAGAGCUUGCUCUUACGGGUGGCGAGUGGCGGACGGGUGAGGAAUACAUCGGAAUCUACUUUUUCGUGGGGGAUAACGUAGGGAAACUUACGCUAAUACCGCAUACGACCUACGGGUGAAAGCAGGGGAUCUUCGGACCUUGCGCGAUUGAAUGAGCCGAUGUCGGAUUAGCUAGUUGGCGGGGUAAAGGCCCACCAAGGCGACGAUCCGUAGCUGGUCUGAGAGGAUGAUCAGCCACACUGGAACUGAGACACGGUCCAGACUCCUACGGGAGGCAGCAGUGGGGAAUAUUGGACAAUGGGCGCAAGCCUGAUCCAGCCAUACCGCGUGGGUGAAGAAGGCCUUCGGGAUGUAAAGCCCUUUUGUUGGGAAAGAAAAGCAGCAGGUUAAUACCCCGCUGUUCUGACGGUACCCAAAGAAUAAGCACCGGCUAACUUCGUG